UACAUUGUUGCUGAUAUUCACUGUGUGUGGUUAGUUACAUUGUUACAUUGUUGCUGACAUGCACUGUGUGGUUAGUUACAUUGUUACAUUGUGGCUGACAUGCACUGUGUGGUUAGUUACAUUGUUGCUAACAGGCAGUUCAAUUCUUUUCCAGAUGGAGCCUCUGAGCGUGAGGACAGCGGUCCUCCAGAAAGAGGAGGAAGUGCCAUUGAGGGCGGUCCCCCGGGAGCAGGGGGAAGAACUGGCCUUUCGCAGGGCACACAGAGCCCGGCCCAAAACCAGCCGCUGCCCCAGAGGGGAGAGCCUGAAUGAGGACGGCUUCCUUUUCGAAUUCAGGCCGGCCACCCCCGCUCCGUCCGCAUCCCAGGAGGAGGCUGUCCACCUGCUUUUCUACUCCGUGUGGAGAGUGGCCAGUGUCUCCUGGGACAACCUGCAGUGGAUCAUAGCCCUGAUGGUUAUCAAAGCCAGGGGUGCAGGCCCUUGGCGGCUGGCCGUCGGGGGCGCCGUCGGACUUUUUCUACUGGCAUGGAUGUGUUGGAGGGCAUUUUAAGUCUGUCCCUCAGAGGGUCAAGGAGCUGAUGCCCACUGAGCAGGAGCAGCUACGCAGCCAGGUCAUGGCCAUCGCCAUCAAGCCCCUGACAAGCAGGCCAUGGCCAGCAAAGCCGAGCAGAGCAGGAGAAGCUGCUGGAGCUGACCAUGGGCUUGGUCACCAAGAAGCUGGAGACCGUCCCGCCUUCGAUUCCGGUCAAGGGCAUGUACCUUGACUGUGGGGACAUCCAUCCCCAGUGGGCUGUGUGCAGGAGGCCCUUGAUCAAUGAUUCUAACUAUCCCUCUGCCUUCUACUCUGUAAAAAAAAAAAAAAAAAAAAGAAUGAAAUGGAAUUAAAAACAAAAGCAGCAGCUGGGGACCGGAGUGAGGUGCGGAGACCAGGCUGGGCAGGUGGGCGGGCACAGGACUCGGGGCGGCCGGGUGCUGGUCCCGCUCUGGAAAGGGAGAGGGUAGAGAACAGAACGGUUAGAGACACUUCCUGUGCUGAGCAGAUCCCUGCAGGCAGCCUGCGGCCUUGAGGCCCGCCCAGCCCAGGUCACCAGAGGCCACGCCACCAUCUUGGCGGGCUGUGGGGGGCGCAGAGGGCACCCGGGAGGGACCACACUGCCCGCCCACCUCCGUCCCCUCCGUGCCCAGAGGCAGAGCCUUAGAGGAGGCCUCACUGGGAGGCGAGGGGAGUGGGGAGUCAGCUGGGAGGAUGGGGACGUGGGGAGCAUCCUGGGGUCAGAACAAGGGUCACGUGAGCUCCCUCCUACGUGGCAUCUAAGGGACAAAAUAAAGGGAUGCCCGGUGGGCGUGGCUGAGCAUCCGCCUGCGGACCAGGAGGCCACGGGGUGUUUCUGGGUCAGCACUGGGGGUCCCCUCGGGCCAACGGGAAGCGGGGGCUGGGGCACCGCCCCGCAAGAGGCUCAGCCCAGUCCCUGAGCGCUGGCCACCCGCCCGCAGCCUGUGUGUGCCGCACGCAGACCUCGCUGCUGCUCCGACAGCCCUGCCGGGGCCUUCGCUGAGCCUGCCAGCGCCCUGGCCACCAGCCGACGCCACCCCACAGCCUUUCAGCUGAGCUGGGGCCCUGGGUGGGAGGCGGCAAGCCCUUGGGGAGCUCAGGGAGCAGCUGAGGAGACACGCCAGCCAGUGACCAGGUGCCCACAGCGAGGCCCAGGGUGCUGCCUGGCAGGGGAGGGCGUGAGGACGGGCUCACAGGUGGGAUGGUGUCUGCGGCUGCCCCUGCCCUGACCUCGCAGGUCAGCAGGAAGGACACCAAGUGCUGAGAGGCCCGGGGGUGGGCACAGUGGUUAGGUGUCAUCCUAGGAUCCAGGAGGUCACGGUUCGAUUCCUGGUCAGGACACAGGCCCGGGUUG